UAGCCUUGACAUUGAUUGAACACUUUAGAGAUAGAGUGGUGCCCUUCGGGGAACAUGAAAACAGGUGCUGCACGGCUGUCGUCAGCUCGUGUCGUGAGAUGUUGGGUUAAGUCCCGCAACGAGCGCAACCCUCGUCCUUAGUUGCCAGCAGGUUAAGCUGGGCACUUUAAGGAGACUGCCUUCGCAAGGAGGAGGAAGGUGAGGACGACGUCAAGUCAUCAUGGCCCUUAUGGCCAGGGCUACACACGUGCUACAAUGGGGUAUACAGAGAGUCGCAAUACCGCGAGGUGGAGCAAAUCUUUAAAAUAUCUCCCAGUUCGGAUUGAAGUCUGCAACUCGACUUCAUGAAGUUGGAAUCGCUAGUAAUCGUGAAUCAGCAAUGUCACGGUGAAUACGUUCCCGGGUCU
rnacentral:rRNA from 1 species